rnacentral:rRNA from 1 species
CACGUAGGGCGCAAGCGUUGUCCGGAAUUAUUGGGCGUAAAGAGCUCGUAGGCGGUUCGGCAAGUCGACGGUGAAAUCUCCACGCUCAACGUGGAGGGGUCCGUCGAUACUGCUGUGACUCGAGUCCGGUAGGGGAGUGUGGAAUUCCCGGUGUAGUGGUGAUAUGCGUAGAUAUCGGGAGGAACACCUGUGGCGAAGGCGGCUUUCUGGGCCUUACCUGACGCUGAGACGCGAAAGCGUGGGGAGCGAACCGG